AGUGAACGCUGGCGGUAGGCCUAACACAUGCAAGUCGAACGGCAGCACAGUAAGAGCUUGCUCUUACGGGUGGCGAGUGGCGGACGGGUGAGGAAUACAUCGGAAUCUACUUUUUCGUGGGGGAUAACGUAGGGAAACUUACGCUAAUACCGCAUACGACUUACGGGUGAAAGCAGGGGAUCUUCGGACCUUGCGCGAUUGAAUGAGCCGAUGUCGGAUUAGCUAGUUGGCUGGGUAAAGGCCCACCAAGGCGACGAUCCGUAGCUGGUCUGAGAGGAUGAUCAGCCACACUGGAACUGAGACACGGUCCAGACUCCUACGGGAGGCAGCAGUGGGGAAUAUUGGACAAUGGGCGCAAGCCUGAUCCAGCCAUACCGCGUGGGUGAAGAAGGCCUUCGGGUUGUAAAGCCCUUUUGUUGGGAAAGAAAAGCAGCAGGUUAAUACCCCGCUGUUCUGACGGUACCCAAAGAAUAAGCACCGGCUAACUUCGUG
rnacentral:rRNA from 1 species